rnacentral:rRNA from 1 species
UACGGGGGGAGCAAGCGUUGUUCGGAAUUACUGGGCGUAAAGGGCUCGUAGGUGGCCAACUAAGUCGGACGUGAAAUCCCUCAGCUUAACUGGGGAACUGCGUCCGAUACUGGAUGGCUCGAGUUUGGGAGAGGGAUGCGGAAUUCCAGGUGUAGCGGUGAAAUGCGUAGAUAUCUGGAGGAACACCGGUGGCGAAGGCGGCAUCCUGGACCAACACUGACGCUGAGGAGCGAAAGCCAGGGGAGCGAACGGG